GGUGUUGUGGCAGAGUGGUCUAAUGCGCAAGACUAGAAUCAUCAUAUGAGCCUAUCUUGUUCCUUCGGGAGCGUCUGUUCGAAUCAGGCCAACAUCG